rnacentral:lncRNA from 1 species
GUAAAGGCGCGGCUGGGCCGGAGGCCGAGGCUGCGCUGCACCCAGCUCCCGGCGAUCACAUCCAGUCGGCCAGGGCCCAGGGGCCAGGUUCUUCUGUAUACAAGGAGAAAGUAUUCUCUCUCAAACAGUAAACUCCCUUUUAUCACAGAGCAGGCUCCAGGCUCAAAGCCCUAGAAAAUAUUAUAAAACUGUUGUCAAGUUUCAGCCCUCUCAAACUCUGAAUUCUCCCUUGAAUAUAUCAGUAUCAAAGAAGAGAAAUAUAGAGAAGGCAACAGUAUUAUAAGGGGUGGCUUCUCAAAAUGCAUAAGAUGGGGCCUGGGCUUUAAUGAAAAGGUAGAAUUCAGAAAUUACUAAGUGGAUUCACAACUUAGGAAGAGAUUACAGAGUACCUCAUCUCCAAAUGCAUGUCAUAUUCUAGGCAUGCCAAAUGAGUUUCCUCUACUGUGUUACCUCCAAUUCAUUGGUCUGAGUUCAACGGAGAGUGCCACCAUCCAUUGGUGAUGCCUGUCACAGGUCAGAGAUGGGGUGAAGGGAUCAUGUGUAUCACAUGCUUGCCUCACCUGUUCAACUCUCUCAGGGAUGUGAGAAAAUAACCAGAGACAUUUGUUUUCAGGAGAGGAUCCUCCUUCUUCCUCCCCAAAUCCUACUGCCUGUCAGCUCCUCUGCCUCUCAGACACCAGUAUGUGUGUGGUAGAAGGUGAAGGCAUAGAGGUUUCUGGGACGAUGUCAGUGCAUGCAGAGAGAUGUGCAUAGGGGCCUUUAAAGGGCGAGAGGGAGAAGAUCGCCUUGAGAGGAUGCCAGGUGAAGAGAGGCUCAAUCUAAGAGGGCCGGACCCUCUAUGCAUGCAUUUUCUCCACUCAUUAUUCUUUCGGCUACAGCCCCUUUAUUUUCUCAUUUCUGGAAAUGAUCAGGUAUGUCAAGGGAGGAGGAUAAAGAAGCAGAAGAGCAUAUGCAUGGCUUUGAAGCUCUUCAGGGACAUGGGGUGUGGAAAGGCCAAAGGGGCCUCUCCAUCUGCUGGGCCCUAGGCCACCAUGCCUGUGGCAUUGCUCCACGUACACUCUGAUGGGCAGCCAUAGUCAUAGACAUAAACAUACAAUGAUAUCAAUAAAAGCCAACACUAAGACUUUACUAUAUGCCAAACACUGUGCUAAGUACUUGGGGGUACAUUUUCUUUUGAUCAGAAACAAUGUAGCAAAAUGGAAAGAGUUUGUGAGAUCAGGCCGACCUUGGUUUGAAUGUGUGUUCCAUCAUUGAUCAC